rnacentral:tRNA from 1 species
GGGGGCGUAGUUCAGCCCGGUAGAACACCUGCUUUGCAAGCAGACCGUCGGGGGUUCAAAUCCCCCCGCCUCCACCA